rnacentral:tRNA from 2 species
CGGGGUAUAGCGCAGCCCGGUUAGCGCGCCUGCUUUGGGAGCAGGAGGUCGUAGGUUCGAAUCCUACUACCCCGA